rnacentral:rRNA from 1 species
AUGAACGCUAGCUACAGGCUUAACACAUGCAAGUCGAGGGGCAGCAUGGUCUUAGCUUGCUAAGGCCGAUGGCGACCGGCGCACGGGUGAGUAACACGUAUCCAACCUGCCGUCUACUCUUGGACAGCCUUCUGAAAGGAAGAUUAAUACAAGAUGGCAUCAUGAGUCCACAUGUUCACAUGAUUAAAGGUAUUCCGGUAGACGAUGGGGAUGCGUUCCAUUAGAUAGUAGGCGGGGUAACGGCCCACCUAGUCUUCGAUGGAUAGGGGUUCUGAGAGGAAGGUCCCCCACAUUGGAACUGAGACACGGUCCAAACUCCUACGGGAGGCAGCAGUGAGGAAUAUUGGUCAAUGGGCGAGAGCCUGAACCAGCCAAGUAGCGUGAAGGAUGACUGCCCUAUGGGUUGUAAACUUCUUUUAUAAAGGAAUAAAGUCGGGUAUGGAUACCCGUUUGCAUGUACUUUAUGAAUAAGGAUCGGCUAACUCCGUGCCAGCAGCCGCGGUAAUACGGAGGAUCCGAGCGUUAUCCGGAUUUAUUGGGUUUAAAGGGAGCGUAGAUGGAUGUUUAAGUCAGUUGUGAAAGUUUGCGGCUCAACCGUAAAAUUGCAGUUGAUACUGGAUAUCUUGAGUGCAGUUGAGGCAGGCGGAAUUCGUGGUGUAGCGGUGAAAUGCUUAGAUAUCACGAAGAACUCCGAUUGCGAAGGCAGCCUGCUAAGCUGCAACUGACAUUGAGGCUCGAAAGUGUGGGUAUCAAACAGGAUUAGAUACCCUGGUAGUCCACACGGUAAACGAUGAAUACUCGCUGUUUGCGAUAUACAGCAAGCGGCCAAGCGAAAGCGUUAAGUAUUCCACCUGGGGAGUACGCCGGCAACGGUGAAACUCAAAGGAAUUGACGGGGGCCCGCACAAGCGGAGGAACAUGUGGUUUAAUUCGAUGAUACGCGAGGAACCUUACCCGGGCUUAAAUUGCAGAUGAAUUACGGUGAAAGCCGUAAGCCGCAAGGCAUCUGUGAAGGUGCUGCAUGGUUGUCGUCAGCUCGUGCCGUGAGGUGUCGGCUUAAGUGCCAUAACGAGCGCAACCCUUGUUGUCAGUUACUAACAGGUUCCGCUGAGGACUCUGACAAGACUGCCAUCGUAAGAUGUGAGGAAGGUGGGGAUGACGUCAAAUCAGCACGGCCCUUACGUCCGGGGCUACACACGUGUUACAAUGGGGGGUACAGAGGGCCGCUACCACGCGAGUGGAUGCCAAUCCCCAAAACCUCUCUCAGUUCGGACUGGAGUCUGCAACCCGACUCCACGAAGCUGGAUUCGCUAGUAAUCGCGCAUCAGCCACGGCGCGGUGAAUACGUUCCCGGGCCUUGUACACACCGCCCGUCAAGCCAUGGGAGCCGGGGGUACCUGAAGUGCGUAACCGCGAGGAGCGCCCUAGGGUAAAACUGGUGACUGGGGCU